GACGAACGCUGGCGGCGUGCUUAACACAUGCAAGUCGAACGGAAAGGCCUCUUUCGGGGGGUACUCGAGUGGCGAACGGGUGAGUAACACGUGAGUAACCUGCCCUUGACUUUGGGAUAACUUCAGGAAACUGGGGCUAAUACCGGAUAGGAGCUCCUGCUGCAUGGUGGGGGUUGGAAAGUUUCGGCGGUUGGGGAUGGACUCGCGGCUUAUCAGCUUGUUGGUGGGGUAGUGGCUUACCAAGGCUUUGACGGGUAGCCGGCCUGAGAGGGUGACCGGCCACAUUGGGACUGAGAUACGGCCCAGACUCCUACGGGAGGAAGCAGGGGGGAAUAUUGCACAAUGGGUGGAAGCCUGAUGCAGCAACGCCGUGUGCGGGAUGACGGCCUUCGGGUUGUAAACCGCUUUCGCUCAGGACGAAGCUUUGUGUGACGGUAGUGGGUAAAGAAGCACCGGCUAACUACGUG
rnacentral:rRNA from 1 species